ensembl:snRNA U2 U2 spliceosomal RNA
AUCACUUCUCAGCCUUCUGGCUAAGAUCAAGUGUAGUAUCUGUUCUUAUGAGUUUAAUAUUUGAAAGGCAUAGUUACACACACAGAGAGAUAAAGACACAGACAGACAGAUCUUAC